AUUGAACGCUGGCGGCAGGCUUAACACAUGCAAGUCGAGCGGGGUGAUGGUGCUUGCACUAUCACUUAGCGGCGGACGGGUGAGUAAUGCUUAGGAAUCUGCCUAUUAGUGGGGGACAACAUCUCGAAAGGGAUGCUAAUACCGCAUACGUCCUACGGGAGAAAGCAGGGGAUCACUUGUGACCUUGCGCUAAUAGAUGAGCCUAAGUCGGAUUAGCUAGUUGGUGGGGUAAAGGCCUACCAAGGCGACGAUCUGUAGCGGGUCUGAGAGGAUGAUCCGCAACACUGGGACUGGGACACGGGCCAGACUCCUACGGGAGGCAGCAGUGGGGAAUAUUGGACAAUGGGGGGAACCCUGAUCCAGCCAUGCCGCGUGUGUGAAGAAGGCCUUAUGGUUGUAAAGCACUUUAAGCGAGGAGGAGGCUCUUUUGGUUAAUACCCAAGAUGAGUGGACGUUACUCGCAGAAUAAGCACCGGCUAACUCUGUGCCAGCCGCCGCCGUAA
rnacentral:rRNA from 1 species